AGAGCCACGCCCCUUCCGGGAGGGAAGGCCGCCCCUUCCCGGCCGGGCUGCCCAAUCCUGAACCAGGACUCAGGGGCCGCCCCCGAAGCUUUCUCUCCCUCCUUGCGGGCAAGCCUCAAGCCCCGCCCACUCCUGCCCCCUAGGUCUGACGGGGACUCCGGCUCGGAGCUGGGCCCCCGAGGCCGCCAGGGAGGUGACUGCGGGCGACGCCGGGAUUUUGGUUUGGGUAACUGGGUAGAUGGGGGCGCCAUUAUCGCGCUUCUCUUGCAGGGGGCCGGUGAAGGUUAUACGAGAGGCUCCAUCUGUCCUUAUAGAAAGUGCUCUUAACGCAGGGACCAGCCGUCUUGCUGACGCCUGGGCCACCGAGCACAGGGACAGGACGGGGUUGCUGGAGGUGAGGAUGCCGCGUGUCAGGAGUGGGGAUGAAGGAGGAGAAGGUGUUCACUUUUGGACAUGUGACGUGAUAGCACUGGGCAGAGGGGAGGAAGCUCAGACCUUGGAGCAGUGGGCCCGGCAAGGUGGCCCUUGAUGGGGCAGGGGACGGGUAGGGACAGGUAGGGACAGGUCAUGGGGCCCAUGCAAUGACCAGGGAGGUGGAGGAGCAGUAGGACAGUGUCACAGAGGCAACAGGAAGCUGUCACAGGAGGGAGUGGGUCACAGGCCAAGUGCUGCUGAGGCCUCGGCGGUGUACACAGCACGGCAGGGGGGGCGGGGGUACAGGGCCUUCGGUGAUGCAGGGGACACCUGAGGGAGGAAGUGAGGAGGGCAGCAGGGCCCCAAGUAGUUGGUGUUAACAAGAAUAAACAAUUAGGGGCCAAGAAAUCCCAGGCGGUAGCUGAAAGAAAAACACAGCCUGGGUUUGCUGUUUAAAGAUGGGACAGGCAGGCGGGGCCAGGUCCCCCUGGAGUGGUUUCCUCCUUAAGGUGCAAGCUGGGAGAAAGCAGAGAACUGACUCCAUGCAGAGUUGGGAUUAAGAGCCCCUGGACAAGGGGCUGAGGCAGUGAAGGACGUCCAUCACUCAUCUGCCACUAUCCGCCUCACAUUUAAUCCUCACAACACCCCUGUGAGGUUUAUCCGCUUCACCUGUUGCCGGGGACCACUGCUCUCCGGGGGACUUGGGGGACGACACUGUAAACAUGACUUCCUGGCCUGAUGGUGGCAGGGCUGUGUGUGCGAGUCACUGUCCAGGGACAGCACUGAGGUAGACCACGGUGACAUCGAGGAUGCCGCUGGGAGCUGUCACUGCAGGAAGGUUGGUGGGGAGGAAAGUCAUGUCACACCCAAGCAUCAGGGGAGACCCCCUGCCAGGUCAGGACCCUGAAGUCCAGGUCAAGAAUCUUCUACC